rnacentral:rRNA from 1 species
CUAAUUUGUCAUGGGGGCAGCCUGAUCAGCCUGCCGCGUGUGUGAGAAGGCCUUCGGGUUGUAAGCCCUUUUUGCCGGGAAGAAAUUGACCGGUUUCUGCUGGGUUGACCGGACCGUUUCAUGCCAGCACGCCUAACUCUAAGCCAUCCCCCGCGGUAAUAAAAUGA